AUUAUUUCACCUAUUUUCAUUUCUACAAAAUGGAGGCCAAACGGGGGCUAAAUCAAAUUAAGCUCUGAGUUUUUUAUCCACCAGUUCUUUUCUAAUAAAGUUGUUGACUGCUGAAUUUAAAAUUAUUGCUAAAUUAGGACUGAAUAUUGGUUCAGGAUUGGUUAUAUCUUCUUUUGUUGGUUUACCUUAUAAAAUAUAUAGACAUUUUCAUGACUAGUUUUUGUCGUGGCUGUUGCAUGCCAAAUUAGAUGAUAUGUUACGAAAAGGUCCUUACUCUGACGUUAUGUAAGUUUUGAUCAUUCUAUAUCAUAAUGUUUUGAUUUUGAUUGGUGAGAUUUUGCUUCACCUACAAUUUGUACAAACAGAAGGGUCCUUACUUUGACGUAAUGCAAGUUUUGAUCAUUCUAUAUCAUAAUUUUUUUAUUUUAAUGGUUGAGAUUUUGUUACACCUCGAUUUCUACAUGAAAGGAUCUGUGCUUUGACGUAUUGCAAGUUUUGAUCAUUCUAUAUCAUAGUUUUUUUAUUUGGAUUGGUGAGGUUUUGUUUCAUUAGUAAUUUCUAAGACACGAGAUACGACUCAAUGCACUUGUUCAUGUAGUAAGCUGAAGAAACUUGUUUGCUCAGACUAAUAAACUAGUACUAUAGAUGAUCAAAUUGUCCGAUGGUUAUUCUUUUUCAAGUUGUUUGAGCAUGUUCUUGUGCAAUGGAAUGUUGAUAGCUGCUCUUUAUUUUGCUGGUGGCAAAUGGAUAAUUAUUGUGACUUUUGUAACAAUGUGAUGGUUGAGGUCUGAUGUUUAAUUUCUAUGCGUAAUCUAAAAAGUUGUUUUUGUUGUUGGAAAAAGUCAUGGAAUUUUGGUCAUCUGAGAAAAGUCUUUCGCCCUUGCACUCGCUAGUCUCCUCCUGUACUUGAUUGAAUGCUGCUAUCAAAAGGUGCAUUGGAGUUUGUAUGAUGAGAAUGUUUGACUCCGUUUUUUUUACCUGUUCACUUUGCUCUUUUUAGAUUUGGGGGUUGUCUGGUAGAUGGGGGAAUGACUUGGUUUAUGUGCAAUACUACAACUGAUGAAUCUUGGAUCCAUAUUAAUUAUCCUUUUUUGUAGUUGAUCACUUGUAAUCUUUUAAGUGGACUCCUCUGUUUUAGGGAAAAUGGGUAUGUCAAUGUGUGUAUAUGUAUAAUUUAUCUUUCCUCUAUUUUCAGUUAGUUGGUUUUCAUUUGCUCUCUACUUCCUUUGGACAGCAGUGAAGGUCUUAAAAGUACAAGGCACACGCCCUCAAGAAAAACAUUUGGACCAUGUACAAACUUCAAAGCAAUGCAACUAUUGAUUGACUA
rnacentral:lncRNA from 1 species